CCACUUGAAAUCCUCGGCGCCGCCUCCUAUCUCUGUACUGCUUCGAAAGAAGACUAUGGCGCUAAACCUUUUGUGCAAUAGAUGUACAGGACGCGGCUUCGAAGCCGCCGCCUCCACCAAAAGCAGCCGAGAGCGACUGUUUUUGAUGGGGGCGAAAUGGGAUCGACUGGCAUUGAAAGACAAAAGCUGUGCUCGGCAUUGUACCACCGUUAUCGGGCAACCCUAAUAGUUGCAAACGACAACUAUGCUGAAGCACGCCUCGCUGCCUAACGGCGGUGCGGCACUUCAAAUUAAGUCCUUCCGGGUAGCACCGUAAGGCGGGGUUCGGAGGUACCUGGCAACAGAAACCUCCACC
rnacentral:tmRNA from 1 species